UCUCUGUUAGUAUAUCGGUUAGUACACGCGCCUGUCACUGUGAUUGGCCGCGCGAAAGCGGGGUUCGACUCCCCGACAGAGAG